CCUACGGGAGGCAGCAGUGGGGAAUCUUGCGCAAUGGGCGAAAGCCUGACGUAGCAACGCCGCGUGAGGGACGAAGGUUUUCUGAAUUGUAAACCUCUUUCAGCAGGGAAGAUAAUGACGGUACCUGCAGAAGAAGCACCGGCUAACUACGUGCCAGCAGCCGCGGUGAUACGUAGGGUGCAAGCGUUGUCCGGAUUUAUUGGGCGUAAAGAGCUCGUAGGCGGUUUGGUAAGUCGGUUGUGAAAUCCCCAGGCUCAACCUGGGGCCUGCAUUCGAUACUGCCAUGACUAGAGUUUGGUAGGGGACCACGGAAUUCCUGGUGUAGCGGUGGAAUGCGCAGAUAUCAGGAGGAACACCAGUAGCGAAGGCGGUGGUCUGGGCCAAUACUGACGCUGAGGAGCGAAAGCGUGGGGAGCAAACAGGAUUAGAUACCCUGGUAGUCCACGCCGUAAACGGUGGGCACUAGGUGUGGGGACUAUUCAACGGUUUCCGCGCCGACGCUAACGCAUUAAGUGCCCGCCUGGGGAGUACGGCCGCAAGGCUAAAACUCAAAGGAAUUGACGG
rnacentral:rRNA from 1 species